UCAACAAUUUUUGGGCAUCCAAAACUUAGAUGAUCCAAGAGCCCUCUCCUAAUAAUAUGUCUUCAUGCAAAAUUGAAGUCCUUAAAUUAUCAAUGAAAGGCUAUUCCCUUAUAUUUUUAUUUUAUUUUAUUAAAUUUAUUUUGUAGAUAGCAAAAAAGGGGGCUGUUAAAAGCAUUUUGAGCAAUCUUAAGUGUUCCUUUGUGGCAGCAUCUGUAUAAAUGUUGUGAUAUUCAGGAGUAACAGCUGAUCAAGAUGAAGACUGCUCAUACAUGGGGGCUGCAUUGAAAUUAACCACUCAUGGGGGACAACAUCAAAAUUCAAGUAAUUGAGGGUGUUAAAUUUUAUUUUGUGCUUGGUAUCAGUGUUGACUUCUGUCAGAAUUUUAACUAACCUCGCAUGCUUAGCAUGAGUGUUCAAUUCAACUGAUCCAAGAAUUCAUCAAAUCUCUCUUGUGUCGGUUUACUUCUUAAAUUAACCUAUUUUAUCUUCCUGACAGUGAAAGAAUUGAUCAUUUUUUGCAAGUCAUUAAGGUCAUCAAUCGAUCAAUUUUGUCUUUGCCUCAUCUGAAUUUUCAGUAAUUUCUCCUUACCUAGACUGCAAGAAUGAUUUCACGUAAACCAGUACCAGUCAGCAAUAAACUUUCUAAGACAGCGAAUACUUCUACAACCAACAGUAGUUUCCAAUCCUGUCUUGAUUCUGCUGAGUGGUUUAACGUUGAUGCUCCAAAACCAGUCCAUGAUCAAAAACAGCUUCAUGCUGUUACAGAAAAUUUGAAGAAGCUGUGCACAUGCUACAAAAAAACUGAAAAUAAGAACCGUGAGCACAAAGAGCUUAUUGCAAUGGUGCUUCGGGAUUUUGACAAAUUUUCUGAAAAACUCGCAACUGUAAAUGCAAAAAAAAUUAAACCUAAAGAAACUUUGGCCGAAAACAAAAGAUUUGCAGCUCCCACUAGAAAUUCAAGGUAUAAAUUGAUUCAGAAGAAUUGUCAUAAGAAAAAAAAACCUUGCCCGCUUACAUGUGAAAGCAAAUGCGCUUG
rnacentral:lncRNA from 1 species